rnacentral:rRNA from 1 species
GUGCCAGCCGCCGCGGUAAUACGUAUGGGGCUAGCGUUGUUCGGAUUCACUGGGCGUAAAGGGCGUGUAGGCGGUGAGGUAAGUCGGAUGUGAAAUCUCCGGGCUUAACCCGGAAAUUGCAUUCGAUACUGCCUCGCUAGAGUACCGGAGAGGGAGACGGAAUUCCUGGUGUAGGGGUGAAAUCUGUAGAUAUCAGGAGGAACACCGGUGGCGAAGGCGGUCUCCUGGCCGGAUACUGACGCUGAGGCGCGAAAGCUAGGGGAGCAAACAGGAUUAGAUACCCUGGUAGUCCUAGCUGUAAACGUUGUGCACUAGGUGUGAGUGGCUUGUCCACUCGUGCCGAAGCUAACGCAUUAAGUGCCCCGCCUGGGGAGUACGGUCGCAAGGCUGAAACUUAAAUGAAUUGGCGGGG